CAGUCGCCACGUAAUACGGAGGAUCCAAGCGUUAUCCGGAAUCAUUGGGUUUAAAGGGUCCGUAGGCGGUCUUGUAAGUCAGUGGUGAAAGCCCAUCGCUCAACGGUGGAACGGCCAUUGAUACUGCAGGACUUGAAUUAUUGGGAAGUAACUAGAAUAUGUAGUGUAGCGGUGAAAUGCUUAGAGAUUACAUGGAAUACCAAUUGCGAAGGCAUGUUACUACCAAUUGAUUGACGCUGAUGGACGAAAGCGUGGGUAGCGAACAGGAUUAGAUACCCCAGUAGUCCCUGUCUCUUAUAAA
rnacentral:rRNA from 1 species